rnacentral:ncRNA from 1 species
ACACUGACAUGAUAAAUUAGUGGUUAGCUAUAUUUUUUUACUUUGCAACAGAACCUAAAAAUUAAUUUGUGUUGAAUAUCGCUACUACAUUCUUGAAAAAGUGAUGUAGAUUUUUAGCCCAUAACUUUUUUGAUUUACAUCGACGAUACGGCGUCGAAAGAAAAAUAAAUAGACCGUACGAAAGAAUAAG